CUCGUAGGCGGCCAACUAAGUCCGACGUGAAAUCCCCAGGCUCAACCUGGGAACUGCGUCGGAUACUGGAUGGCUUGAAUUCGGGAGAGGGAUGCAGAAUUCCAGGUGUAGCGGUGAAAUGCGUAGAUAUCUGGAGGAAUACCGGUGGCGAAGGCGGCAUCCUGGACCGACAUUGACGCUGAGGAGCGAAAGCUAGGGAGCAAACG
rnacentral:rRNA from 1 species